ACCUUGUCAUGUUGCCCUCACUAAUCGCACCGGACCUUUCCCUCACCUCUCUCUCUCUCUCAGCUCCACCCAACCAUCAACCAUGGACUCUGUUCCACUCUCGCCGCCACCCAACCAAACCCCUCCCAGAUCCUACCGCAUCGUCUCGCCGGAGCAUCCGUGCCAGGCGCUCCCGCCCGCCAAAUUCCUGCCGCAGAUGCAUCCGGGGACGCCCCGCGCCCGACGAUUUUCGCCCUGUCUCAGGUUGCUGCUGCUGCUGCUGCUGCUCCCAGCGUCCGUGUCGCCCAACUGCCCCUGCUUUCUUCGACUGUCGCGGAGAGGCCUCGCCCUCGGAGAUGGCCGCGACCAGCACGAGAUGGCGGCCAACUUCCCGCCGCCGCCGGAGGCAGCGACCUUCCCCGCGCCCAACGCCCCUGCCCGGAGGGCGCCGCACAUCGCCAUCUUUAAUUUUUACUGCCCUGCUUUCGAUCCUGGGAGCCUGCACGGGUUUGUACAUUCAUUUCCACCGCACUAACAUCCUAGCCACUCAACUACUAUAUCAAAUGGUUCAGAAUGUCCCCGACUAUAUACAGCUCGUGACAAUCAGGCCAACCAACUACACCUAUGCUUGUUCCGAUUUGACCUCACAAUUCACCAAGCUUCUCACGCUAGCAGCACCUAUGCUUUUUUUCAGAAUGUCCUGCCUAAUUUGGUUCUACCACCUGUUUGUUAGUUGCAGUUUACCACUGGAAACUUCUUGCUCAGUUUUCCUCUACUUGACUUGAUCAUUACAUGCUCUCUCUCAAGUUGAUUGCCUAAUGUUUUGCUUUUAUCUAUAAUACAUCAAAAUCAUCUACUGGUAGCAUAAUAUUGUUUAUUCGCUCAAACACUAGUAAUGUAAUGGGUUGGUCUUUAUUUAGCAUCCUCAUCAUUUCGACUCCAUCUGCUUGAGUAUAUGGCUCUGUUUAGUAUGCUACUAUCUAGACGUCGUCUAUUUGGACUUCCUUAUGAAUAUUAUUGUUUCCUUUUGCUGGCCAUGUUCUGCUCUUGUCUGAGGGUAACGAUGGGGGGCUAAGCGGCAGCGGUGACCUCCUCCUUCAGCUCCAUGUGCUUAGUUUUACAAGGCUGGGAGGACAGAAGGCUUCUGUCUGAUGCAGGACCGGAGGGUGGAAGAACAACAAGGGGAAGCUCAACUCCUCUUUUUUUUUUGUGAAACCAGAUUUUGAAUGGUCAGAAUCGAUCGGGGUAGUAGGCCGAUCAUGAAGUGGCAUAAGAUGGACCUCCUCAAGCACGUACUUGAUGCAGCUAGCUAGCUCACGAGAAGAAAAAUAAGAUUAAUAAGGACUUCAAUCAAAUCAUGGCCUGUUCAUGUACACUGUACAUGUUUAGUUUUACAAGGCUGGGAGCAUAGAAGGCUUCUGUCUGAUGCAUGACCGGAGGGUCGAAUGAACGCUGUACUCCUCUUUUUUGUGAAACCAGAUUUUGAAUGGUAGGGUUGUAAUUCUUGUGGCCUUUUAUUUCUGACGCCAAAUCAUGUAAUGCUUCAGACUAACGUUUGUUUGGUUCU